CCUACGGGAGGCAGCAGUGAGGAAUAUUGGUCAAUGGGCGGGAGCCUGAACCAGCCAAGUCGCGUGAGGGAAGACGGUCCUAUGGAUUGUAAACCUCUUUAGUCGGGGAGCAAUGCCGGGCACGCGUGCCCGGAGGGAGAGUACCCGCAGAAUAAGCUUCGGCUAACUCGGUGCCAGCAGCCGCGGUAUUCCGGGGGAUGCGAGAGUUACCCGGUUUUAUGGGGUUUAAAGGGUGCGUAGGCGGAUUUUAAAGUCAGCGGGAAAAUGUUCGGCCUCAACCCGGGCCGGCCGUUGAAACUGGGGAUCUUGAGUGGGCGAGAAGUAGGCGGAAUGCGUGGUGUAGCGGUGAAAUGCAUAGAUAUCACGCAGAACUCCGAUUGCGAAGGCAGCAUACCGGCGCCCGACUGACGCUGAGGCACGAAAGCGUGGGGAUCGAACAGGAUUAGAUACCCCUGUAGUC
rnacentral:rRNA from 1 species